UCAGAGUUUCAGAAUUCCUCUUCCGAUAUUCAGACUUCUUCAGAUGACCUCCAUUUCCAUCCCAGGUUCUGACAACCACGCAGCCCCUCCUCCCAAUCCACCUCCACCAACUUUCAUGACUCCCAAUCCACACCUUCCUAAUCGUCUCCCUCUAGCAAGUGAUUGCUUAGAGGGGUAAGCAGCCACAAGAUCCCCAGAGCCGAGCUCUUCCCCUCCGGUGCUGCCGUGGCUUUGGGCCAAGCCAAGCACAAGCAGGAGAGGCCCAUCAAUCCCUUCCUCGUCAGAUGCAGUUUUCACUCUUGAUGGUGGAGGCACAGCUCGAUGGCAUGAUGGUUCAUAGUGGUCUGCCGAAGUGUGGAGAUUAUGGAUACCCCAUAUCUACACGGCAUGUAUAGUUUGGUUGGGUACGGGGUACCAGAUAUAGAUAGAAUAUCUUUAGGAGGACUCGGGUUAGUUUCUAAACUUGUAUGUCAAGGAAAUACCCGGGAUCCUAGUCGGUUACGAUUGUAUUUUAUCUGUAAUCACAUAUUCCGUUAGGGAUAUGGACUGUAUUUUGUAAUACGAACCCCUUCCCCUAUAUAAGGAGUGGUCCGGGUCCCUCUAGGGACACGAUUUUCUCCCAGAUUAUACGAUCAAUAAUACACUCGGCGGAUCAAUCCCCGGACA